UAGGAGGCGAAAAAAUCAUUUUAUUCGAAUCUUCGAACUAUGGGUGAACUAUGGGCAAAGUAUGGCGAAGUAUGGGAUGCGAGAAAAUCUUUUUUUUUCAAUCUUCCAACUUCCAACUUCCUCCAAUCUUCCAUAGUUGGCCCAUAGUUCGCCCAUAGUUCGAAAAUUUAAAAAAAAGUGUUUUUUUCGCCUCCCAUACUUCGCCAUACUUGGCCCAUAGUUCGCCCAUAGUUCGAAAAUUUAAAAAAAAGUGUUUUUUUCGCCUCCCAUACUUCGCCAUACUUGGCCCAUAGUUCCCCCAUAGUUCGAAAAUUUAAAAAAAGUGUUUUUUUCGCCUCCCAUACUUCGCCAUACUUGGCCCAUAGUUCGCCCAAAGUUCAAAAAUUAAAAAAAAGUUUUUUUUUCGCCUCCCAUACUUCGCCAUACUUGGCUCAUAGUUCGCCCAUAGUUCAAAAAUUUAAAAAAAAGUGUUUUAUUCGCCUCCCAUACUUCGCCAUACUUGGCCCAUAGUUCGCCCAAAGUUCAAAAAUUAAAAAAAAGUUUUUUUUUCGCCUCCCAUAUUUCGCCAUACUUGGCCCAUAGUUCGCCCAUAGUUCGAAAAUUUAAAAAAAAGUGUUUUUUUCGCCUCCCAUACUUCGCCAUACUUGGCCCAUAGUUCCCCCAUAGUUCGAAAAUUUAAAAAAAAGUUUUUUUCGCAUCCCAUACUUCGCCAUACUUGGCCCAUAGUUCGCCCAUAGUUCAAAAAUUAAAAAAAAGUGUUUUUUUCGCCUCCCAUACUUCGCCAUACUUGGCCCAUAGUUCCCCCAUAGUUCGAAAAUUUAAAAACAAGUGUUUUUUUCGCCUCCCAUACUUCGCCACACUUGGCCCAUAGUUCGCCCAUAGUUCGAAAAUUUAAAAAAAAGUGUUUUUUUCGCCUCCCAUACUUCGCCAUACUUGGCCCAUAGUUCGCCCAUAGUUCGAAAAUUUAAAAAAAAGUGUUUUUUUCGCCUCCCAUACUUCGCCAUACUUGGCCCAUAGUUCCCCCAUAGUUCGAAAAUUUAAAAAAAGUGUUUUUUUCGCCUCCCAUACUUCGCCAUACUUGGCCCAUAGUUCGCCCAAAGUUCAAAAAUUAAAAAAAAGUUUUUUUUUCGCCUCCCAUACUUCGCCAUACUUGGCUCAUAGUUCGCCCAUAGUUCAAAAAUUUAAAAAAAAGUGUUUUAUUCGCCUCCCAUACUUCGCCAUACUUGGCCCAUAGUUCGCCCAAAGUUCAAAAAUUAAAAAAAAGUUUUUUUUUCGCCUCCCAUACUUCGCCAUACUUGGCCCAUAGUUCGCCCAUAGUUCGAAAAUUUAAAAAAAAGUUGUUUUUUUCGCCUCCCAUACUUCGCCAUACUUGGCCCAUAGUUCCCCCAUAGUUCGAAAAUUUAAAAACAAGUGUUUUUUUCGCCUCCCAUACUUCGCCACACUUGGCCCAUAGUUCGCCCAUAGUUCGAAAAUUUAAAAAAAAGUGUUUUUUUCGCCUCCCAUACUUCGCCAUACUUGGCCCAUAGUUCGCCCAUAGUUCGAAAAAUUAAAAAAAAGUUUUUUUUUCGCCUCCCAUACUUCGCCAUACUUGGCCCAUAGUUCGCCCAAAGUUCAAAAAUUAAAAAAAAGUUUUUUUUUCGCCUCCCAUACUUCGCCAUACUUGGCCCAUAGUUCGCCCAUAGUUCGAAAAUUUAAAAAAAAGUUGUUUUUUUCGCCUCCCAUACUUCGCCAUACUUGGCCCAUAGUUCGCCCAUAGUUCGAAAAUUUAAAAACAAGUGUUUUUUUCGCCUCCCAUACUUCGCCAUACUUGGCCCAUAGUUCGCCCAUAGUUCGAAAAUUUAAAAAAAAGUGUUUUUUUCGCCUCCCAUACUUCGCCAUACUUGGCCCAUAGUUCGCCCAUAGUUCGAAAAUUUAAAAAAAGUGUUUUUUUCGCCUCCCAUACUUCGCCAUACUUGGCCCAUAGUUCCCCCAUAUUUCGAAAAUUUAAAAAAAGUGUUUUUUUCGCCUCCCAUACUUCGCCAUACUUGGCCCAUAGUUCGCCCAUAGUUCAAAAAUUAAAAAAAAGUUUUUUUUCGCCUCCCAUACUUCGCCAUACUUGGCCCAUAGUUCGCCCAUAGUUCGAAAAAUUAAAAAAAAGUUUUUUUUCGCCUCCCAUACUUCGCCAUACUUGGCCCAUAGUUCGCCCAUAGUUCGAAAAAUUAAAAAAAAGUGUUUUUUUCGCCUCCCAUACUUCGCCAUACUUGGCCCAUAGUUCGCCCAUAGUUCGAAAAUUUAAAAAAAGUGUUUUUUUCGCCUCCCAUACUUCGCCAUACUUGGCCCAUAGUUCGCCCAUAGUUCGAAAAUUUAAAAAAAAGUGUUUUUUUCGCCUCCCAUACUUCGCCAUACUUGGCCCAUAGUUCGCCCAUAGUUCGAAAAUUUAAAAAAAGUGUUUUUUUCGCCUCCCAUACUUCGCCUUACUUGGCCCAUAGUUCCCCCAUAUUUCGAAAAUUUAAAAAAAGUGUUUUUUUCGCCUCCCAUACUUCGCCAUACUUGGCCCAUAGUUCGCCCAAAGUUCAAAAAUUAAAAAAAAGUUUUUUUUCGCCUCCCAUACUUCGCCAUACUUGGCCCAUAGUUCGCCCAUAGUUCGAAAAAUUAAAAAAAAGUGUUUUUUUCGCCUCCCAUACUUCGCCAUACUUGGCCCAUAGUUCGCCCAUAGUUCGAAAAUUUAAAAAAAAGUGUUUUUUUCGCCUCCCAUACUUCGCCAUACUUGGCCCAUAGUUCGCCCAUAGUUCGAAAAUUUAAAAAAAGUUUUUUUUUUCGCCUCCCAUACUUCGCCAUACUUGGCCCAUAGUUCCCCCAUAUUUCGAAAAUUUAAAAAAAGUGUUUUUUUCGCCUCCCAUACUUCGCCAUACUUCGCCCAUAGUUCGCCCAAAGUUCAAAAAUUAAAAAAAAGUUUUUUUUCGCCUCCCAUACUUCGCCAUACUUGACCCAUAGUUCGAAAAUUUAAAAAAAAGUGUUUUAUUCGCCUCCCAUACUUCGCCAUACUUGGCCCAUAGUUCGAAAAUUUAAAAAAAAGUGUUUUUUUCGCCUCCCAUACUUCGCCAUACUUGGCCCAUAGUUCGAAAAUUUAAAAAAAGUUUUUUUCGCCUCCCAUACUUCGCCAUACUUGGCCCAUAGUUCGCCCAUAGUUCAAAAAUUUAAAAAAAAGUGUUUUUUUCGCCUCCCAUACUUCGCCAUACUUGGCCCAUAGUUCGCCCAUAGUUCGAAAAUUUAAAAAAAAGUGUUUUUUUCGCCUCCCAUACUUCGCCAUACUUGGCCCAUAGUUCGCCCAUAGUUCGAAAAUUUUGAAAAAAGUGUUUUUUUCGCCUCCCAUACUUCGCCAUACUUGGCCCAUAGUUCGCCCAUAGUUCAAAAAUUAAAAAAAAGUGUUUUUUUCGCCUCCCAUACUUCGCCAUACUUGGCCCAUAGUUCGCCCAUAGUUCGAAAAUUUAAAAAAAAGUGUUUUUUUCGCCUCCCAUACUUCGCCAUACUUGGCCCAUAGUUCGCCCAUAGUUCGAAAAUUUAAAAAAAAGUGUUUUUUUCGCCUCCCAUACUUCGCCAUACUUGGCCCAUAGUUCGCCCAUAGUUCGAAAAUUUUGAAAAAAGUGUUUUUUUCGCCUCCCAUACUUCGCCAUACUUGGCCCAUAGUUCGCCCAUAGUUCAAAAAUUAAAAAAAAAUGUUUUUUUCGCCUCCCAUACUUCGCCAUACUUGGCCCAUAGUUCGCCCAUAGUUCAAAAAUUAAAAAAAAGUGUUUUUUUCGCCUCCCAUACUUCGCCAUACUUGGCCCAUAGUUCGCCCAUAGUUCGAAAAUUUAAAAAAAAGUGUUUUUUUCGCCUCCCAUACUUCGCCAUACUUGGCCCAUAGUUCGCCCAU